rnacentral:ncRNA from 2 species
ACCUUUCACUAGGGGAGCUGUGAAAUCGGCUGAGAAGAACUGUUUCGUUCUGACCCUUUGAACCCGAACUAGAUAAUACUAGCGUGGGGAAGUGUGGUCGAAGCUUG